ACAACCAACUAUGGAGAAUAAAGUGAGAUUAAAAGAAUCCUGGUGCUGAGGUGCGUAAAGAAAAGAGAAAAGUUCAAACAAAAGCAGUCCCAAGAAUGUAUGGCAAGGACAUGCUAAUAUAAGAAUUAUUCCAGAGAUGGAGAAUCCACGCUUGUUAAUAGGAAUUUAGAAACUAUAAAAGGAGCAGGAAUAAUGAGGCUGUGGCGCGUGCAAUUCUUUGGGCCAAUAAAGCUAAUGUUAGAAGGAGGUAAAAGGAGACUUACAAACAUGAGUCACGUAUUUAUAUGCAAGAGC